CCAAAGGCUCUUUUCAGAGCCACUUAAGGCUGUCAAUAUUGGGUGCU
rfam:Heterocephalus glaber contig168481, whole genome shotgun sequence.